UCCCUGGUGGUUCAGUGGUUAGGAUUCUGUGCUUCAUUGCAGGGGGCCUGGGUUCGAUCCCUGGUUGGGGAA
rnacentral:tRNA from 1 species